AUGGAGCAGGACCAGUAUGAAGCUCGUCUCAAGGAGCUGUUUGAUAGUUUUGACCCCACGGGCACGGGGUCUCUGGGACAGGAAGAGCUGACGGACCUCUGUCAUAUGCUGCAGCUGGAGGAGGUGGCCCCCUCGUUACAGCAAGCUCUGCUUCAGGACAACCCACAUGGCCGGAUUCACUUUGACCAGUUUAAAGAAGCCCUUAUCGAUGCCUUAUCCAGCACCCUGUCCAGUAAGGAGAACUGCCCCGAACCAGAUGGCUCCCCCGAAGCCCAGCCUAAAUACAUCAAAGAUGGCAAGCGCUACGGUCGCCGCUCAGUGCCGGAGCUUCAAGACUCUCUGGAAGAGUAUGAUGAAGAGACGGUAAUUGAACCCGAAGAUGAAGGGACGAGGUCCUCGCAGGUCAGCUCCAGAAACUGCGAAGAGCUUUGGAGGAAUGAAGAAGGGGAAGAAUAUGAAGCGGAAGGGCAGCUGCGGUUCUGGAACCCCGAUGACCUCAGCGCUUCGCAGACGGUGCUGUCUCCAGACCAGGACUGGGUGGAGGAGAAGUUGCAGCUGAUAUGUGAGGAUCUCGGCAUCACCCGCGAUGGUCACUUGAACAGGAAGAAGCUUCUUUCCAUCUGCGAACAGUACGGUUUCCAGAAUCUGGACCACGAGGCCCUGGAGGACGCCUUACAGAACUUGGACCAAGAUGACACCAUAAGCCUCCAGGAUUUUUUCUAUGAAGCCUCUAAAAAUAGCAAACCCCCCACUCCGUCCUCCUCCACGCCUUAUCGACAGCUGAAGAGACACCUCUCUCUGCAGCCUUAUGAUGAGACCGGGAGGAGGACGCUGACUCCGUCGGCCAUGACUGGUACAAUCGGACUCCGCCUAUUCUCCAAACUUGACGAUGGAACGGGUUACAGCACUGUGGAGGACAUCAUAGACUUGUGGCAUGCAGAAGGACUGGAGAACGGACCGGCCAUACUCAAGGCUCUGGAUUUUUGCUUAGAAGGGAAGAUCAAUCUGAUGGAAUUGACCAUGACGCUGGAAAAUGAGCUUCUGAUCACCAAAAAUGAGGUCUACCAGGCGGCUCUCGUCAGCUUCCGCUCGGAGAUCAGGCACUUAUUAGAACGGGCUGACCAGACUGUACGGGAAAAAGAGAAACUGCGCACCGAUUUGGAAAAAAAUGAGAAACUAAAAAGUCUGAUGGCAUCAGAGGUGGACGACCAUCAUGCCGCCAUUGAGCGCCGCAAUGAAUACAACCUCCGAAAGCUGGACGAGGAAUACAAGGAGAGGACUACGGCUCUCAAAACGGAGCUGAGAAAAGAGCGGGAGCAGCUAUUACAACAAGCCAACCAUCAGCGGCUGGAGCUGGAGCAGGAGCUCGAUAAGCUGAAGCUGGAAGAGAAUUACCUCCGGGAUCGGCUUACAUUGUCCAUAAAGGAGAACAGCCGUAUGGAGAAUGAGUUGUUGGAAACUUCUGAGAAGCUGGCGGACUGCGAGGUCUUGACUGCCAAACUGCAGAAGACUCUUGACAACAUACUGCGUGAAAAGUUUGGGGAUCUGGAUCCAAGUUGUGUUGAGUUUUUCCGUCACGAGGAGAAGUUGAUGCAAGUGCGGAAUGAAUACGAGCGGCAGCGCCGGGAGCUGCAGGAUCGUAUUGAUGAAUUACAGCUGGAGCUGGAAGAUUAUAGAGCUCAGGGCAUUCGGGGCUUAAGAUCGCCUCUGAAGACUUCAUUAUUUGAUGAAAUGGAUAAUAAAAAUGCUGUUGACUAUGACCAAGGUAUCGGCUCUGAAGAUUGUCCUCCACUGAACAUGAGUAUAGAGGCAGAGAUGGCCAUCGAGCAGAUGAGAGAACAACACCAAAGGGAAAUGGAGCAAUUACAGGUGGAUCUGGAAUCUAAGGUAACACACUAUGAAGAAAAGCUGAAGGAGGCAAAAUCCAUGUUUGAGAAAGAGCAGUAUGCCCUAAAGCAAAAGCUAAAUGAAGAACUUCACAAGGCAGAAGAGCAAAUACAAGUCUAUAAAAUUAAGCACUUAGAAUUAGAAGCCAACAUCUCAAAGCUUAUAGAGGCGCAGCAGAAAGAGGAACGUGAACAUCGCAACCAAAUGGACAAAAUGGGAGCAGAAUUCAGUAACCAGAGAGCGCAGCUGAUGGAGCAGGAGGCCAUCCUCCGAUUUCAAUUAGAGGAGGCCAAGGAAACCUACCACAAGGAGAAGGAGGAGCUGGUCCAGAGGGCAGAAGAGCUGGAGAAGAAGACUGAGGGCAAAAUCGUUGAUGUGGUAUCCACCUAUGAGGAGAAGAAGAGUGAACUGGAACAGAGUUUUAAUGAAAAAAUGUUGAGUUUUCAGGAAAAACAUGACCUGGAAAAACUGGAAUUACAGAACCAAUUGCUUGAACAACAUGAGCUGGAAGUCCAAGAGGAAAGGAAAAAAUUAGAGACAGAGUAUAAUAGAAGAAUCUCCGAAAACGAGGCUCGGUUUGUAAAUGACUAUGGUCUAGCAGUCAAAAAGUAUGAAAAAGAUUUAGUUGCUCUAAAGGAGAAGUUUGAGGACGAUCUUCAAGAUCUCCGGGACCAGCAUGCAGAAGAAAAGGCCCAGUGGGCAUUCGAAAAAGAAGAGCUCCUUCAAGAGAGCGUCGAAUUGCAGGAAAGACUGAAAGAGCAAUUAGCUAAAAAUGAAAAUGAGAAACAAAUAUCUUAUUCUGAGAUUUCACUACAGAAAGAGCUUUUAGAGAAGACCUACAAGGAACUGGUCAAUAAUUUACAGUCUGAAAAGGUUCAACUGCAAAAUAAACUUGAAAAGCUGAAAAUCGCUGCAAAACAAGUUGAAGUAGCACUCAAGGACAAGAUCCUUCAACUAGAAAAUGACUUGCGGGAGGAGUUGACAGAGCGAGAUGAGCAGCUUCUUCAAGCACAAACCAACAUGAAGCAUCUCCAAGACACAUUAGAAGAUCUGGAGAAGAAGUAUAAGCAUGGGACAGAAGAACUUGGUUCAAAGUUGUCGAAGUCUGAGACUCUUUAUGAAGAACUAAGUCUCAGUAAUGAGACAAAUAGACUAGAAAUGCUUGAGGAAAUCGCAAGACUUCAGGCCACUAUUGAUGAGUUGAAAGAUGAACUUGGGUCUUUAUCCAAGGUUCAAGCGGAAUAUAAGUUGGCUGUGAAGGAAAAUUUGGACCUUAAAAAUGUUGUGUCUCCACUGCAGAAGAGUUUGAUUCUUCUUGAAGAGGAAAGAAGCCAAAACAAGAGUCUGAAAGCUGCUAAUGAAAAGACUGUAAAAGAGAAGGUUGAGUUGUUGGCAGAGAUCUCCAGUCUUCAGGAGAAGCUAAAUUUUGUGGAGAGGGACAUUGUUAAUGCUAGAGUGGAAGAAAAUAAUCAAUAUGUGACAGUAUUAGAGGAGAAAUUAAAGGAUAAAGGCGAUAAGUUGAGUGAAGCAGAGAAAAGUAACCUGGUUCUUCAGGAAACCAUACAGAAGGUGGAAAGCCACCAUGCCACCGAGAGAGAGAUUCUUAAUGCAAAACUGUUGGAGUCAGAGGCAUUUUAUAAAGAAAUGUGUGAUGGGACAGAUACAAAGAGGCAAGAAAUGCUUGUAGAGAUUACUAGACUUCAAAGCACAAUCAAUGAACUUCAAAAUGAGAUCUCAUCUUUGUCAAAAAUUCAGAUGCAAUAUACAGCAAUGAAGAAAGAAAAUGAAGACUUAAAGAAACUAGUGUCUGACCUACAGAAUAAUUCAAUUCUCCUGGAAGAAGAAAGAAGCAUUCUCAAAAAUUUGCAAAAAGUGCAUGAGCAAAUAGUUAAAGAGAAUGUUCAGCUAUUAUCUGAGAUUGCUAAACUUCAGAAGUUGGAGGCAACUAAGACAGAUGCUGAAAAAAUAACUGAAGAAGAUGAACCAAAUACUGAAGAGUUGGGUCAUAAAGAUGUACAGCAUCUUCGGGAAACCAUAGAACAACUAGCGAGAGCCCAUAAAUCUGAGAAAGACCAACUCAACUCCAAACUUUUGCAAUCUGAAAAGCUGUACAAAGAAAUGUGUGAUAAGUCCCAAAAGGACAUCAAACAAAUAGCUAGUCUUCAAGAUACCAUCAAGGACUUAGAGAAGGAAAUGGCUGCUUUAUGUAAAACUCAAGGAGACUUUAAGGUGGUUGAGAAACAAAAUGAAGAGUUGAAGUGUCUUGUAGAACAACUUCAGAACCGUAUGGUAGUUCCCGAGGAUGAAAAGGAUGUAUUUAAGAGUCUACAAGCCGUUCAUGAGAAAACUGUCAAAGAGAAUGUCAGGCUGUUGUCUGAGAUUUCUAGACUACAGAAAAAACAGUUGUGGCUUGAUGGCAAAUCCAACAGGUGCACCAAAAAUGAAGCUGUCGAAAUCGCGACAAAUUCAUUUAUGGAGUUGGAAGGAGAAGACUGCCCAAUAGUUCUGGACCCUCUAUCUUUCAGCCAGUAUAAGGAAACCAUUGAUAAUGUGAAUUUUAAACUUCUAAAUAAAACCAAGGAACUUGAAGACCUCACAAAGGUGUUCUGUAGAGUUGAACAGAGCCAUGAUGAGGUGAAAACUGAGAACGGCCAUCUUAAGACACAGAUCAUUGUACUUCAAGAAAAGCUAAGUGGUUUAGCUUUAGAGUAUGACCAAGUGAAGAAGGCAAUUAAUCUGGAAGUAAUUCCGCUACCGGAGCCGAAGGAUGCACCCAUAUCAAUUCCUGGCCUUAAACUGCUGUUGGCUGUUGCUAGAAAGGAAAAUUUGCAACUAAAGGAAAGCAUGACAGUUUUGGAGUUGAAAAAUAUAGAUGCUAUUGAAAAUAACAAAGCUCUGUCCUCUGAAGUUUCAUGGUUGCAGAAGGAAAUACAAAACAUGGAGGAAAUCACUGAGGCUUCCCUGAAGCUUGAGCAGUUGUAUGAAGAAGCCAAGAAAGAAAACCAUGACCUGAAGGCACUCGUUCAUGUAAUGCAGGAGAAAAUGUAUAGUCUUGAGAAAAUACACUUAAAUGUUCCCAAAAAACAUAACAAUGACCUCAAGACUGAAGUAAGUUUAGAACCUAAUCUCAAUACUGCAGAACAUUCUCCAUGUAGUAUGACUUUCUCAAUGCCCCACCAUCAAAGUGAGGUAGAAAAUGUCCACAUUUUGCAACUGGGACUUAAUUCUUCAGCAGGCCAAGAACAAAAUUACCCUGAAGAACUUCAAAAAAGUAAUAAACUGCAUUAUAAUGUUAAAGAAAUUGGAAAGCCAGGAGUUGGUUCCACCAAGCAAUGUUCUCAUGAUGCAGCUUUAGACCAUAGGUCCUUGGUAGCAGGUCUUCAAGAAAUGAGUCCGAGACAUGAGCAUUUGAUUGUGGACAAUGAGAACAAGGAGCAUGAGGCCCAGAAGAGGCUGGAACAUCUGAGAUGUGAGAAUAAGAACCUAAAGGAGGGGAAUGCUUUAUUGGUAAGCCAGAUAAACUCUUUGAAAGAAGACGUUGAAGCCAAUGACCAAAAACAUGCUGAGCUUAUUGACACUUGUGAAGAUAUGUGGGUGAACCUUGAAACCACGCGGAAGGAAAGACUUGCUAUGGAAAAGAAGGUUGAUGACUUAACAAGUGAGGUAACUGAUCUCAAGAGCAGAAAUGAGCAGCUGGCAUUGGCAAAUGAAGAGUUAUUUUCCAAAAACUCAAAGAACCAAGAGGACCUUCAGGAUCUAAACCUCAGGAUGAUUCUGCUCCUCAAACAGAAAGACCGGAAGGACUCUGGUAAAGACCCUCAAAAGUGGAAGGAAGAGAUUGAAGGCUACAAGACCAAGGUAGCGGAUGCUGAAAGAGAGUUAUCCAAGGUCAAAGCUCACAAUCGGCAUCUGGAGGAGGACAACACUCUUCUAAAACAGGACGUCGAGACCAAAAAGCUCUCAAAAAGCUCAGAGGUGACGGAGCUGAGAAACGAGAUUUCACUCAUAACCAGGAAGAACGAAAAACUGAUGAAAGAAAAGGAAGCUCUGGGAGAGGAACUGAACAGAUGUGUGGCCAAGUCUGCUAAAGUUGGCGUCCUGGAGAAUAAAAUAGCAAGUCUAAAGCAGGAGCAGAAGACGUGGGAGCAGCAGUCACUGUCUCUAAAAUCUCAGGUCGCCGCCUCUCAGGAGCAGAUUCAGAGCUUGGAGGAGAACUUGCAGAGUGUCAACCUCCAGAUGGCUCGUCUCAAGUCAGAUCUCCGAGUCGCACAGCAAGAGAAGGAGUCAUUAAAGCAAGAAGUGAUGUCCUUACACAAACAGCUGCAAAACGCUAAUGCCAAGAAGCAGGUUCUGGAAAUGGCUGUGCACUCCUCAGGGCUACAGAACCAGCAGAAGAAGCAGUACUGGGACGACCUGGAGCAGCUGAUGGCGCAGGAGCAGCAGCUUCUACGGCAGGAGAAUGACCGACUUCAGAGGGAGGUGCAGCUUACCAAGGGCGAUCUGGCCCAAACCAGGGAGAAGGUGCGGCAGCUGGAGUCCGCCAUCAUAUCCCUGAAGCAUCAGAAGCAGCAGAGCCAGUCCAGCCUGGUCAAGGCCCUGGAACAGGAGAAGUCCAGUCUCAAGAGGGAAUGCGACCAGCUCCAGAAAGAGCUCCUCUGUGCAAACAGGAAGAUCAGUCAGCUUAGUGCAAUAGAACGGGAGCUGGAAACCAUCAAGGCCGAGAAUGAAGUCUUACGAGCAAAGCAGGGAAAGUUUGACGAUCCGUUCAUGGAAACCUCAGGAAAUCUCAGGGACGGGUGCGGCUCUCAAUCUGAGAUCUAUGAUGCGGCACCCUUCCUCCGGUGUGACCCAUAGCCGCUCUCCGCUCCAGCAGCAAGCUUGUGCCACCUUACCCCGGGAACAGUACCUGCAGCUCCAGGUGGACAGACGAAACCAACAGCAUCAGGCAACCGCAGAUAACCUCGGCUCCGGCAACAGCUCUCCACAGGCCUUGCUUCCGGAACCACGAGCGCUGCAUGCAGACUCUUACCGACGGAUCGGCCGCCUCUGAGAAUGUGUCUUCUCCUAACGAGCACCUAACGUUAACCUACCCUAACACACCGCUGGCAUAAGCUGAGAAAGACCUUGCUGAGGGCAUGGCGCCCAGCUGCUUGGCUGCUCCUUCCUAUAUUUAACCUUCGCAGUAUUAUAAAUGCACCCGUUUCCUGCGCAACGCCACAGUGGCCAUUUUGUACAAUGGACGUGAGAAUCCAUCUUGUCCACUCACUGGAAAUCUCAAGUUGAGGACUUUGCACUUUCCCAUUGCUCUACUUCGCUCCAUCUUGAGAAUCUCAGUGGACGGGUGGGUCUCCGUCACAAAAUGGCUGCCUCCAGAAUAUGUGGCCAUGAGGUACACUAAAGAGCACCCCCCCCCUCAAAAAAAAAAAAAAAAAGAAUCACCAUAAAAUAUGUCAAGUCAUUAAAAAGUCCUUUCAGCGAGGGCACUUUUUUUUUUAUCAUGGCUUUCGAAGGAAUCUGGUUGCCACCCAGCUUUCCCAGAGGACUGAAAGGUAGAUCUGUGCAGUAAUGCAGUGGCCACUUAUCCGACACAUAUCUGGCAUUAUGGGUGUUGGGAUACUUGGGUGACCACUGUGGGUGCUAUAAUGGCUGAUAUAUUAGCUGGCACCCAGCUUUCCCAGGUGACUGAAGAAGGUAGAUAUGAGGAGUUAUGUAGGGGACAGCAUAGCAUUGUGGGUAUUUAGAAUCCUUGAAAAGCUGGGUGACCCCUGAGGAAGCUGUUAUGGCAGCCAUAUUGGUAGCUGGCACCCAUAUUUCCCAGGUGACUGAAGAAGGUAGAUAUGAGGAGUUAUGUAGGGGACAGCAUAGCAUUGUGGGUAUUUAGAAUCCUUGAAAAGCUGGGUGACCCCUGAGGAAGCUGUUAAUGGCAGCCAUAUUGGUAGCUGGCACCCAGCUUUCCCAGACAGACCCGGGAAUGUGCAUGCAGCUGAUUUCGGUUUAUGUGGAAUCCGAUUAAAAUCUCAUACUUGCCAACAGACCCGAUUUAUCGUGGGAAAAUCCCAUGAAUCGGUUCGCUAGAGGAUUUGGGGUUUAUGUAGCUCCGCCCCAGAAUUGGCAGUCUAGACCUGCUUGGGGGUGGGGCUUCAAGGGCUUAAAGUGACAGAGUAUAAAAUCUGUUUCCCGUUGUUUUUAAAUCUGCGUUGAAGGCCGCGCUGUGGGAAGUUACAAGCAGCAUGAUCCUUUUUGAUGCGGAUGACCACGUGCGGCUCCCCUUUAAAAAUAGGUUUAAUUGGUGUGCAGACCCCCGGAAGCUGCUGUAUGCAAAUUUUCAGCAGAAAACCAAGGAUCAGUCUCUGAUUUCUGAAGCCGUUUCCAUGGUGGAUUUUGUCCGUGGAAGAAUCCGCCAUGUGGGCAUAACCUUAGAAAGUCCUGCAUAACAGAGCAUUAUGGGAAAUCAGCCAGAGCCAUCGUGGCGCCGCCCAGUAAGCACCAGCCGAAUAGAGUUUUUCUUGACUUGACUGGAAAAAGGGCUUAAUUUACUGGUAAUCUUUUUAUUUUUUUAUAUUUUCUCUUUGGAGGGAGGGGGGGGGGGGGGGCACAAACUUUAUGUAAUUACUGCUGUAGAAAUAUUGUGUGUAAAAUACCUUAUUUAAAGAGAAAUGAAGGUUUUGUGUAAAGUUUUAUGUAUUUAUACUAUUUAUUAGGUUUGGUUUCUGUCCUCUUGAUAUAUUUAUAUUUUCUUCCUCCUUUUGUAACGUUUUGGACAAGAAAGGGGGGGAGUGACGUUUUUUGUUUUUUUUACGUUACUCCCACCCAGUCGCCUCUUUAUACUGGAAAUUUGUCAGAAUUUGUAAGCUACUUUUGGAAGAAAACCACAAAUGUUUCGAUGCUGGGAAAUAAAAUUCUUUUAAUUACUGAGAUGAUUUUCUGUUGUGUUUGAUUAAUGU